rnacentral:misc_RNA from 1 species
AACCAUAGAAACCUGCGGAGUACCUGCGGAAGGAUCAUUACAGAGUUGCAAAACUCCCUAAACCAUUGUGAACGUUACCUAAACCGUUGCUUCGGCGGGCGGCCCGGGUCCUUCCCGGCGCCCCUCGGCCCUCGCGGGCGCCCGCCGGAGGUAAACCAAACUAUUGCAUUGUAUGGCCUCUCUGAGUCUUCUGUACUGAGUAAGUCAAAACUUUUAACAAUGGAUCUCAGAUCGGAAGAG